GAUGGCGACCGGCGCACGGGUGAGUAACACGUAUCCAACCUGCCGAUGACUCGGGAAUAGCCUUUCGAAAGAAAGAUUAAUACCCGAUGGCAUAGUUCUUCCGCAUGGUGGAACUAUUAAAGAAUUUCGGUCAUCGAUGGGGAUGCGUUCCAUUAGGUUGUUGGCGGGGUAACGGCCCACCAAGCCUUCGAUGGAUAGGGGUUCUGAGAGGAAGGUCCCCCACAUUGGAACUGAGACACGGUCCAAACUCCUACGGGAGGCAGCAUG
rnacentral:rRNA from 1 species